UACGUAGGGUGCAAGCGUUGUCCGGAAUUAUUGGGCGUAAAGAGCUUGUAGGCGGUUUGUCGCGUCUGCUGUGAAAUUUCGGGGCUCAACCCCGAACUUGCAGUGGGUACGGGCAGACUAGAGUGUGGUAGGGGAGACUGGAAUUCCUGGUGUAGCGGUGAAAUGCGCAGAUAUCAGGAGGAACACCGAUGGUGAAGGCAGGUCUCUGGGCCAUAACUGACGCUGAGAAGCGAAAGCAUGGGGAGCGAACAGG
rnacentral:rRNA from 1 species